rnacentral:misc_RNA from 1 species
GAUGAAGAACGCAGCGAAAUGCGAUAAGUAAUGUGAAUUGCAGAAUUCAGUGAAUCAUCGAAUCUUUGAACGCACAUUGCGCCCGCUAGUAUUCUGGCGGGCAUGCCUGUCCGAGGGUCAUUUCAACCCUCAAGCCCCCGGGCUUGGUGUUGGGGAUCGGCGAGCCUCCGCGCCCGCCGUCCCCUAAAUCUAGUGGCGGUCUCGCUGUAGCUUCCUCUGCGUAGUAGCACACCUCGCACUGGGAAACAGCGCGGCCACGCCGUUAAACCCCCAACUUCUGAACGUUUGACCUCGGAUCAGGUAGGAAUACCCGCUGAACUUAAGCAUAUCAAUAAGCGGAGGA